rnacentral:rRNA from 1 species
GACGGAGGGUGCUAGCGUUGUUCGGAAUUACUGGGCGUAAAGGGCGCGUAGGCGGCCCUCCUAGUCGCGUGUGAAAGCCCCGGGCUCAACCUGGGAACGGCGCGCGAAACGGGGGGGCUGGAGUUCGGGAGAGGAGCGUGGAAUUCCCAGUGUAGAGGUGAAAUUCGUAGAUAUUGGGAAGAACACCGGUGGGCGAAGGCGGCGCUCUGGACCGAGACUGACGCUGAGGCGCGAAAGCGUGGGGAGCAAACAGG